UUUUUUUUUCGCAUUGAAUGAUCUUGAAACCCUUGUUAAAAAUCUAUUGACUAUGGUUGUGUGGGUUUAUUUCUGGGACUUUCUGUUUUAGUCCAUUGAUCUGUAUGUUUAUCUUUAUGCCAGUACUACACUAUUUUGAUUACUGUAGCUUUGUAGUAAGUUUUGAAAUCAGGACGUGUGUCUCCUGGCUUGCUUAAUUUCAAAAUUGAUUCGGCUAUUUGGGGUCCCUUGUGAUUUCAUAUAUAUUUUAGAAUCAGCUUGUCCAUUUCUGUACAAAAAGUACAGAUGAAAUACUCAUAGUGAUUGCAUUAAAUUGGAUAUUAUCAGUUCAUAGAUUUUUUCCUUUUAGCACUUUAAAAAUGUCAUUUCUCCCCCUUCUGCUUUCUGUGGUUUCUGAUGAGAAAUCUGCAGUCAUUCAAAUUAGAGAGUGAUAAGCAAUGGGAAUGUACCCCACAUUCUCCAGACCACAGCUCCUCUGUUUUCUUCUGAGUUUCAGACAUCUGCCAGUAUUGUGCCUCUAUUGUGAUAGUGACUGCGGGCUGAAAUGGGAGAGCACAAAAAAAGAGAAGAAAAAACAAAAGCAAAAUAGAGGACUCUUUCUAACUCUUAGUGGUUCCCUUUUAUCCUUUCUCACACUAGAAAAAGUUUUCUCUUGGUUUUCCUUUCUGUUCUCAUCUGAUGUGUACUCCUGGGUUUUGGCCAGGUAAUACUGAAGGAAAACAAAUGGUAAACAUACCACUGGUUAGGUGGAACUUUGAAUUCUGGUAUCCUUCCCCAGUUGGCCUAUUACCAUUUACUUUUCAGUGUGCUUGGAUAGUUAGCUGCUCCUUAUGCAGCCUAGCCAGGGUUUAUAGUUGUGUUGCAUGUGACAGACAAGGUAGUGCAUGCUUACUCCAUCUUGCUGGAACUGGACGCUCUCUUAAAUUGAUCUUUAAGGGGUCCUUAUAAAAUAUGGAUACUAACCCCCUUGUCAUUGAGUAUACUGCACACAUCUUCUUUCAGUCCUUGUCUUUAAUUUUUUUUUUUUUGAGAGGUAGUCUUGCUCUGUCACCCAGGCUGGAAUGCAGUGGCGUGAUCUCGGCUCACUGUAAGCUCUGCCUCCCGGGUUCACGCCAUUCUCCUGCCUCAGCCUCCCAAGCAGCUGGGACUACAGGCACCUGCCACCACGCCCGGCAAAUUUUUUGUAUUUUUAAUAGAGACAGGGUUUCACCAUGUUAGCCAGGAUGGUCACGAUCUCCUGACCUCGUGAUCCGUCCACCUCGGCCUCCCAAAGUGCUGGGAUUACAGGCGUGAGCCACCGUGCCUGGCCAAUCUU
rnacentral:lncRNA from 1 species